GACGAACGCUGGCGGCGUGCCUAAUACAUGCAAGUCGAGCGGACAGAAGGGAGCUUGCUCCCGGAAGUUAGCGGCGGACGGGUGAGUAACACGUGGGCAACCUACCCUGUAGAUCGGGAUAACAUCGAGAAAUCGGUGCUAAUACCGGAUAAUCAUUUGAAGUGCAUGCUUCGAAUGUAAAAGAUGGCUCCGGCUAUCACUACGGGCCGGUCCCGCGGCGCAUUAGCUAGUUGGUAAGGUAAUGGCUUACCAAGGCAACGAUGCGUAGCCGACCUGAGAGGGUGAUCGGCCACACUGGGACUGAGACACGGCCCAGACUCCUACGGGAGGCAGCAGUAGGGAAUCUUCCGCAAUGGACGAAAGUCUGACGGAGCAACGCCGCGUGAGUGAUGAAGGUUUUCGGAUCGUAAAGCUCUGUUGUUAGGGAAGAACAAGUGCCGUUUGAAUAAGGCGGCACCUUGACGGUACCUAACCAGAAAGCCACGGCUAACUACGUGCCAGCCGCCGCGGUAAGAC
rnacentral:rRNA from 1 species